rnacentral:rRNA from 1 species
CCUACGGGAGGCAGCAGUGAGGAAUAUUGGACAAUGGGCGCGAGCCUGAACCAGCCAAGUAGCGUGAAGGAUGACUGCCCUACGGGUUGUAAACUUCUUUUAUAAAGGAAUAAAGUGAGGCACGUGUGCCUUUUUGUAUGUACUUUAUGAAUAAGGAUAGGCUAACUCCGUCCCAGCAGACGCGGUAAUACGGAGGAUCCGAGCGUUAUUCGGAUUUAUUGGGCUUAAAGGGAGCGUAGAUGGGUUGUUAAGUCAGUUGUGAAAGUUUGGGGCUCAACCGUAGAAUUGCAAUUGAUACUGGCAGCCUUGAGUACAGUAGAGGUAGGCGGAAUUCGUGGUGUAGCGGUGAAAUGCGUAGAUAUCACGAAGAACUCCGAUUGCGAAGGCAGCCUACUAAACUGCCACUGACAUUGAUGCUCGAAAGUGUGGGUAUCAAACAGGAUUAGAUACCCUUGUAGUC